AGGGUUGUGGCUCACUGGUAGAGCACUUACCUGGCAUGUGUGAGGCACUGAGUUCGAUCCUCAGCACCACAU
rnacentral:tRNA from 1 species